GCGUCUUUGUCUUUCAGCAGGUGUGUCGUUCAGUAGGUGUGUCGUUCAGUAGGUGUGUCGUUCAGUAGGUAUGUCUUUCAGUAGGUGUGUCGUUCAGUAGGUGUGUCGUUCAGUAGGUAUGUCUUUCAGUAGGUGUGUCGUUCAGUAGGUGUGUCUUUCAGUAGGUGUGUCUUUCAGUAGGUGUGUCGUUCAGUAGGUGUGUCGUUCAGUAGGUGUGUCUUUCAGUAGGUGUGUCUUUCAGUAGGUGUGUCUUUCAGUAGGUGUGUCUUUCAGUAGGUGUGUCUUUCAGUAGGUGUGUCUUUCAGUAGGUGUGUCGUUCAGUAGGUGUGUCGUUCAGUGGGUGUGUCGUUCAGCAGGUGUGUCGUUCAGCAGGUGUGUCGUUCAGCAGGUGUGUCGUUCAGCAGGUGUGUCGUUCAGCAGGUGUGUCUUUCAGCAGGUGUGUCGUUCAGCAGGUGUGUCUUUCAGCAGGUGUGUCGUUCAGUAGGUGUGUCGUUCAGUAGGUGUGUCGUUCAGUAGGUGUGUCGUUCAGUAGGUGUGUCGUUCAGUAGGUGUGUCGUUCAGUAGGUGUGUCGUUCAGUAGGUGUGUCGUUCAGUAGGUGUGUCGUUCAGUAGGUGUGUCUUUCAGUAGGUGUGUCUUUCAGUAGGUGUGUCUUUCAGUAGGUGUGUCUUUCAGUAGGUGUGUCGUUCAGUAGGUGUGUCUUUCAGUAGGUGUGUCGUUCAGUAGGUGUGUCGUUCAGUAGGUGUGUCGUUCAGUAGGUGUGUCGUUCAGUAGGUGUGUCUUUCAGUAGGUGUGUCGUUCAGUAGGUGUGUCGUUCAGAAUGCGUCUCCGUGUGUCUCUGACCUGUAAUAGUCCUCUUGGCCAGGAAGUGGGCCACCGUGCAUGUGGUGAUGUCCAUG